GGGUUGUGAGGUUAAGCGACUAAGCGUACACGGUGGAUGCCCUGGCAGUCAGAGGCGAUGAAGGACGUGCUAAUCUGCGAAAAGCGCCGGCGAGGUGAUAUGAACCUUUGACCCGGCGAUGUCCGAAUGGGGAAACCCAGUGUGUUCCGACACACUAUCGUUAACUGAAUACAUAGGUUAACGAGGCGAACCGGGGGAACUGAAACAUCUAAGUACCCCGAGGAAAAGAAAUCAACCGAGAUUCCCCCAGUAGCGGCGAGCGAACGGGGAGCAGCCCAGAGUCUGAAUCAGCUUGUGUGUUAGUGGAAGCGUCUGGAAAGUCGCACGGUACAGGGUGACAGUCCCGUACACGAAAGCACACAGGCUGUGAACUCGAAGAGUAGGGCGGGACACGUGGUAUCCUGUCUGAAUAUGGGGGGACCAUCCUCCAAGGCUAAAUACUCCUGACUGACCGAUAGUGAACCAGUACCGUGAGGGAAAGGCGAAAAGAACCCCGGCGAGGGGAGUGAAAAAGAACCUGAAACCGUGUACGUACAAGCAGUGGGAGCCUCUUUUAUGGGGUGACUGCGUACCUUUUGUAUAAUGGGUCAGCGACUUAUAUUCUGUAGCAAGGUUAACCGUAUAGGGGAGCCGAAGGGAAACCGAGUCUUAACUGGGCGUUAAGUUGCAGGGUAUAGACCCGAAACCCGGUGAUCUAGCCAUGGGCAGGUUGAAGGUUGGGUAACACUAACUGGAGGACCGAACCGACUAAUGUUGAAAAAUUAGCGGAUGACUUGUGGCUGGGGGUGAAAGGCCAAUCAAACCGGGAGAUAGCUGGUUCUCCCCGAAAGCUAUUUAGGUAGCGCCUCGUGAACUCAUCUUCGGGGGUAGAGCACUGUUUCGGCUAGGGGGCCAUCCCGGCUUACCAACCCGAUGCAAACUACGAAUACCGAAGAAUGUUAUCACGGGAGACACACGGCGGGUGCUAACGUCCGUCGUGAAGAGGGAAACAACCCAGACCGCCAGCUAAGGUCCCAAAGUCAUGGUUAAGUGGGAAACGAUGUGGGAAGGCACAGACAGCCAGGAUGUUGGCUUAGAAGCAGCCAUCAUUUAAAGAAAGCGUAAUAGCUCACUGGUCGAGUCGGCCUGCGCGGAAGAUGUAACGGGGCUAAACCAUGCACCGAAGCUGCGGCAGCGACGCUUAUGCGUUGUUGGGUAGGGGAGCGUUCUGUAAGCCGUUGAAGGUGUCCUGUGAGGGGUGCUGGAGGUAUCAGAAGUGCGAAUGCUGACAUAAGUAACGAUAAAGCGGGUGAAAAGCCCGCUCGCCGGAAGACCAAGGGUUCCUGUCCAACGUUAAUCGGGGCAGGGUGAGUCGACCCCUAAGGCGAGGCCGAAAGGCGUAGUCGAUGGGAAACAGGUUAAUAUUCCUGUACUUGGUGUUACUGCGAAGGGGGGACGGAGAAGGCUAUGUUAGCCGGGCGACGGUUGUCCCGGUUUAAGCAUGUAGGCGGAACGAUUAGGUAAAUCCGGUCGUUUAUUAACGCUGAGGUGUGAUGACGAGGCACUACGGUGCUGAAGUAACAAAUGCCCUGCUUCCAGGAAAAGCCUCUAAGCAUCAGGUAACAUCAAAUCGUACCCCAAACCGACACAGGUGGUCAGGUAGAGAAUACCAAGGCGCUUGAGAGAACUCGGGUGAAGGAACUAGGCAAAAUGGUGCCGUAACUUCGGGAGAAGGCACGCUGAUAUGUAGGUGAAGCCCCUGCGGGUGGAGCUGAAAUCAGUCGAAGAUACCAGCUGGCUGCAACUGUUUAUUAAAAACACAGCACUGUGCAAACACGAAAGUGGACGUAUACGGUGUGACGCCUGCCCGGUGCCGGAAGGUUAAUUGAUGGGGUUAGCGGUAACGCGAAGCUCUUGAUCGAAGCCCCGGUAAACGGCGGCCGUAACUAUAACGGUCCUAAGGUAGCGAAAUUCCUUGUCGGGUAAGUUCCGACCUGCACGAAUGGCGUAAUGAUGGCCAGGCUGUCUCCACCCGAGACUCAGUGAAAUUGAACUCGCUGUGAAGAUGCAGUGUACCCGCGGCAAGACGGAAAGACCCCGUGAACCUUUACUAUAGCUUGACACUGAACACUGGUCCUUGAUGUGUAGGAUAGGUGGGAGGCUUUGAAGCGUGGACGCCAGUCUGCGUGGAGCCAACCUUGAAAUACCACCCUUUAAUGGCUGGUGUUCUAACGUGGACCCGUAAUCCGGGUUGCGGACAGUGUCUGGUGGGUAGUUUGACUGGGGCGGUCUCCUCCCAAAGAGUAACGGAGGAGCACGAAGGUUAGCUAAUCCUGGUCGGACAUCAGGAGGUUAGUGCAAUGGCAUAAGCUAGCUUGACUGCGAGAGUGACGGCUCGAGCAGGUGCGAAAGCAGGUCAUAGUGAUCCGGUGGUUCUGAAUGGAAGGGCCAUCGCUCAACGGAUAAAAGGUACUCCGGGGAUAACAGGCUGAUACCGCCCAAGAGUUCAUAUCGACGGCGGUGUUUGGCACCUCGAUGUCGGCUCAUCACAUCCUGGGGCUGAAGUAGGUCCCAAGGGUAUGGCUGUUCGCCAUUUAAAGUGGUACGCGAGCUGGGUUUAGAACGUCGUGAGACAGUUCGGUCCCUAUCUGCCGUGGGCGCUGGAGAAUUGAGGGGGGCUGCUCCUAGUACGAGAGGACCGGAGUGGACGCAUCACUGGUGUUCGGGUUGUCAUGCCAAUGGCACUGCCCGGUAGCUAAAUGCGGAAGAGAUAAGUGCUGAAAGCAUCUAAGCACGAAACUUGCCCCGAGAUGAGUUCUCCCUGAGACUUUAAGUCUCCUGAAGGAACGUUGAAGACUACGACGUUGAUAGGUCGGGUGUGUAAGCGCAGCGAUGCGUUGAGCUAACCGAUACUAAUGAACCGUGAGGCUUAACCUUACAACGCCGAAG
rnacentral:rRNA from 1 species